UACGGAGGGUGCAAGCGUUAUCCGGAUUCACUGGGUUUAAAGGGUGCGUAGGCGGAUUUUUUAAGUCCGUGGUGAAAUCUCCGAGCUUAACUCGGAAACUGCCAUGGAUACUAUAAGUCUUGAAUGUUGUGGAGGUUUGCGGAAUAUGUCAUGUAGCGGUGAAAUGCUUAGAUAUGACAUAGAACACCGAUUGCGAAGGCAGCAGGCUACACAAAAUAUUGACGCUGAGGCACGAAGCGUGGGGAUCAAACAGGA
rnacentral:rRNA from 1 species